rnacentral:sRNA from 1 species
CUUUGAACUUUUUCGUUGCCAUGAUAAACUUCUGCGAAAGACUUUAUACACACAUAUUGUGACUGAUAUCAAGAAUAUAAAUGCAAAACACAAGAACAAUAAAGUGAAUGUAGUAAGUACUCUUCUGUCUUCCAUGUUUGCAGCAUUGUACCAUCAGUGUAUUAAGUCUUCUUUCUCCUCCUUUUCUGCAGGUAUUGCAAAAUUUCAUGUACACCAUGUUAAGAGAUAGCAAUGCAACCGCAGCCAAGAUGUCUUUAGAUGUAAUGAUUGAACUCUACAGAAGGAACAUCUGAUAUUAGUUGCCGCUUUGACAUUCUUUCUUGGGAAAGAUGAAGAUGAAAAACAGGACAGUGACUCCGAAUCUGAGGAUGAUGGACCAACAGCAAGAGACCUGCUAGUACAAUAUGCUACAGGGAAGAAAAGUUCCAAAAACAAGAAAAA